rnacentral:rRNA from 1 species
UGGGGAAUAUUGGACAAUGGGCGAAAGCCUGAUCCAGCCAUGCCGCGUGUGUGAAGAAGGUCUUCGGAUUGUAAAGCACUUUAAGUUGGGAGGAAGGGCAGUAAGCGAAUACCUUGCUGUUUUGACGUUACCGACAGAAUAAGCACCGGCUAACUCUGUGCCAGCAGCCGCGGUAAUACAGAGGGUGCAAGCGGUAAUCGGAAUUACUGGGCGUAAAGCGCGCGUAGGUGGUUCGUUAAGUUGAAUGUGAAAGCCCCGGGCUCAACCUGGGAACUGCAUCCAAAACUGGCGAGCUAGAGUAGGGCAGAGGGUGGUGGAAUUUCCUGUGUAGCGGUGAAAUGCGUAGAUAUAGGAAGGAACACCAGGGGCGAAGGCGACCACCUGGGCUCAUACUGACACUGAGGUGCGAAAGCGUGGGGAGCAAACAGG